rfam:Anaerolinea thermophila TNI-1 DNA, complete genome.
GGACACGAGGCAAGGGUCUGCAAAACCCUGAUCAUGGGUUCAAAUCCCAUCGUCGCCU